rnacentral:rRNA from 1 species
CGAACGGGUGAGUAACGCGUGAGGAACCUGCCUCAAAAAGGGGGAAAACAGUUGGAAACGACUGCUAAUACCGCAUAAGCCCACGGCUCGGCAUCGAGCAGAGGGAAAAGGAGCAAUCCGCUUUGAGAUGGCCUCGCGUCCGAUUAGCUAGUUGGUGAGGUAACGGCCCACCAAGGCGACGAUCGGUAGCCGGACUGGGAGGUUGAACGGCCACAUUGGGACUGAGACACGGCCCAG